AUAAAUUUUUUAAAGCAAAGAUAAUCCAAACUUUUUACUUCUUAUUUUACUACGUUUUACUAUGGUCUGUGUUCUUGAGGUUAUUUGUGUCUGUUGUGUCUAUAUGGUG